rnacentral:rRNA from 1 species
CAGUCGCCGCGGGAAUACGAAGGGGGCUAGCGUUGCUCGGAAUGACUGGGCGUAAAGGGCGCGUAGGCGGCUUGCACAGUCAGAUGUGAAAUUCCUGGGCUUAACCUGGGGGCUGCAUUUGAUACGUGUGGGCUAGAGUGUGAAAGAGGGUCGUGGAAUUCCCAGUGUAGAGGUGAAAUUCGUAGAUAUUGGGAAGAACACCGGUGGCGAAGGCGGCGACCUGGUUCAUGACUGACGCUGAGGCGCGAAAGCGUGGGGAGCAAACAGGAUUAGAGACCCGCGUAGUCCCUGUCUCUUAUAC